rnacentral:rRNA from 1 species
GUCGUAACAAGGUCUCCGUAGGUGAACCUGCGGAGGGAUCAUUACACAAAUAUGAAGGCGGGCUGGAACCUCUCGGGGUUACAGCCUUGCUGAAUUAUUCACCCUUGUCUUUUGCGUACUUCUUGUUUCCUUGGUGGGUUCGCCCACCACUAGGACAAACAUAAACCUUUUGUAAUUGCAAUCAGCGUCAGUAACAAAUUAAUAAUUACAGCUUUCAACAACGGAUCUCUUGGUUCUGGCAUCGAUGAAGAACGCAGCGAAAUGCGAUAAGUAGUGUGAAUUGCAGAAUUCAGUGAAUCAUCGAAUCUUUGAACGCACAUUGCGCCCUUUGGUAUUCCAAAGGGCAUGCCUGUUCGAGCGUCAUUUGUACCCUCAAGCUUUGCUUGGUGUUGGGCGUCUUGUCUCUAGCUUUGCUGGAGACUCGCCUUAAAGUAAUUGGCAGCCGGCCUACUGGUUUCGGAGCGCAGCACAAGUCGCACUCUCUAUCAGCAAAGGUCUAGCAUCCAUUAAGCCUUUUUUUCAACUUUUGACCUCGGAUCAGGUAGGGAUACCCGCUGAACUUAAGCAUAUCA